rnacentral:rRNA from 1 species
GACGAACGCUGGCGGCGUGCUUAACACAUGCAAGUCGUACGGUAAGGCCCUUUCGGGGGUCCACGAGUGGCGAACGGGUGAGUAGCACGUGAGUAACCUGCCCACAACUUUGGGAUAACGCUAGGAAACUGGUGCUAAUACUGGAUAUGUGCUCCUGCUGCAUGGUGGGGGUUGGAAAGCUCCGGCGGUUGUGGAUGGACUCGCGGCCUAUCAGCUUGUUGGUGGGGUAGUGGCCUACCAAGGCGGCGACGGGUAGCCGGCCUGAGAGGGUGACCGGCCACAUUGGGACUGAGAUACGGCCCAGACUCCUACGGGAGGCAGCAGUGGGGAAUAUUGCACAAUGGGCGCAAGCCUGAUGCAGCAACGCCGCGUGCGGGAUGACGGCCUUCGGGUUGUAAACCGCUUUCAGCAGGGACGAAGCUUUUUGUGACGGUACCUGCAGAAGAAGCACCGGCUAACUACGUG